rnacentral:rRNA from 1 species
GGAAGACCAAGGGUUCCUGUCCAACGUUAAUCGGGGCAGGGUGAGUCGACCCCUAAGGCGAGGCUGAAAAGCGUAGUCGAUGGGAAACGGGUUAAUAUUCCCGUACUGGUGGUAACUGCGAUGGGGGAACGGAGAAGGCUAGGUUGUCCGGGCGACGGUCGUCCCGGUUCAAGCAGGUAGGCAGAGUGAUUAGGCAAAUCCGGUCACUUAAUGCUGAGAUGUGAUGACGAACCACCAAGGUGGUGAAGCAAUUGAUGCCCCGCUUCCAGGAAAAGCCUCUAAGCUUCAGGUUACCAACAAUCGUACCCCAAACCGACACAGGUGGUCAGGUAGAGAAUACUCAGGCGCUUGAGAGAACUCGGGUGAAGGAACUAGGCAAAAUGGUGCCGUAACUUCGGGAGAAGGCACGCUGGCGGUAGGUAAAGUCCCUCGCGGACGGCGCUGAAGCCAGUCGAAGAUACCAGCUGGCUGCAACUGUUUAUUAAAAACACAGCACUGUGCAAACACGAAAGUGGACGUAUACGGUGUGACGCCUGCCCGGUGCUGGAAGGUUAAUUGAUGGGGUCAGCCGUAAGGCGAAGCUCCUGAUCGAAGCCCCAGUAAACGGCGGCCGUAACUAUAACGGUCCUAAGGUAGCGAAAUUCCUUGUCGGGUAAGUUCCGACCUGCACGAAUGGCGUAAUGAUGGCCAGGCUGUCUCCACCCGAGACUCAGUGAAAUUGAACUCGCUGUGAAGAUGCAGUGUACCCGCGGCAAGACGGAAAGACCCCGUGAACCUUUACUAUAGCUUGACACUGAACAUUGAGCCUUGAUGUGUAGGAUAGGUGGGAGGCUUUGAAGUGUGGACGCCAGUCUGCAUGGAGCCAACCUUGAAAUACCACCCUUUAACGUUUGAUGUUCUAACCUAGGCCCAUAAACUGGGUCGGGGACCGUGUCUGGUGGGUAGUUUGACUGGGGCGGUCUCCUCCUAAAGAGUAACGGAGGAGCACGAAGGUUGGCUAAGCAUGGUCGGACAUCAUGCGGUUAGUGCAAAGGCAUAAGCCAGCUUGACUGCGAGAGUGACGGCUCGAGCAGGUACGAAAGUAGGUCUUAGUGAUCCGGUGGUUCUGAAUGGAAGGGCCAUCGCUCAACGGAUAAAAGGUACUCCGGGGAUAACAGGCUGAUACCGCCCAAGAGUUCAUAUCGACGGCGGUGUUUGGCACCUCGAUGUCGGCUCAUCACAUCCUGGGGCUGAAGUAGGUCCCAAGGGUAUGGCUGUUCGCCAUUUAAAGUGGUACGCGAGCUGGGUUUAGAACGUCGUGAGACAGUUCGGUCCCUAUCUGCCGUGGGCGUUGGAAGAUUGAGAGGGGUUGCUCCUAGUACGAGAGGACCGGAGUGAACGCACCACUGGUGUUCGGGUUGUCAUGCCAAUGGCAUUGCCCGGUAGCUAAGUGCGGAAGAGAUAACCGCUGAAAGCAUCUAAGCGGGAAACUUGCC